CUUCCCAUUAAAACAAUCAAGAAUGAUGGCGAAUUUAAUAUAUUUGAUUAGAGAAACUCCAAUUUGGUGCACUUGAAUCAGCUGCCUUUGUCUUCAGCUCCUGAUGGCCCUGUUUCAGUGGAAUGUCCUCACUGGCCACUGCCAGCUCCCUCAGGCUCGGAGAACAUUCCACAUUUGCCUGGCAUGCUCAGAAACAGGGCAGCUAUGCUGCGGGAAAUGCCAGGCCCACUCUGUCCUAAUCAGAGGGAGCGCCACUUCAUUAGAUCAUGGUCACUUGCUGGUGACCCUCAGAGGUGUAGCCUGAGGACAAAGGACGUUAUGGUCCUCCUAAGCAAUGUUGACUUUUCACGGUUAUUUAUUACUUCCCUCAGUUGGUACUUACCAAUGCGAUCCAGGCCUGACUCCUACACAAACAACCCCCAUAGACUCCCGUGUUCAAGUUGCACAGAUGAAUUUUGGAGAAAGUAAUCACAUUUAAAUAUGGAGUCCCUUCCAUUAAAAAUAAAUAGAAACUCAGGGGAAAAUAGAAAAAGUGUCCUCACCCCCCGCCCCCCGUGUCAUUAAGAGAGCUUGCAAUCGUGUCUAAGUAGCACCCACUUUGCAGAAACCUUGAAAGGUGUUUCAGGGGAGCCAGGGAGUACAGACUUAGACAAUGUCACUUAUUCACACUUAAAAUACAUGGUGAUUUAGCGCUAUCACUAUUUAGUCUAGAUAAGUGCUCGAUGAACAAGUAAGGACUGAAUUAAAGAUGAGAGUCUGAACUGUGGCAGAGAUAUGUGGGCUCUCUUGAAUUCAUAGGGAUUUCCUUGGAUAGUUUCUACUCACUGCCAGUAUCGUAUUGAACUGAGACGGACUAGGCUACAAAGACAGUUAAACUCAUUGCCUGCUUAAUCACAAAGGAAAGAAGUUGGAAUCCGCCCCACAUUGCCACCUGGCUUAGUCCCUGCCUAUGAUUGCCUGUGAUAGGAAACCAAACCCAAGGGACUAUGGCCAAGUAUAAAAUAGCAUCCAGGUUUCUGGGUCUCAGCACCCGUGUCCAGUCUGUGAAGCAGCCUGUCAACAAGAGACUUUAAAGUCUCUGCUACACUUGGGAAGAGUUACCUAGGAAGGAGGGCACCUCCUGGGGGUGACUGGGGGCUGCAAGGGAUACUUCCCUUGGAGAUCAACUGGCAGCCCAUCAGUUUGGCCUGCUACACAAGUCAGAGACCUCUGAGGAGGGCUAAAGAUGUUUUGGCUCCACACCCAAAAGCACUCUGAGCGUGGGGCAAGAAGAACCAGCCAGCCUUCCAGAAAGGCCAGUUUCCCAAGAGCAGCAUGGGCUGCCAGGUUCAGGGACGUGCAGCCAAGGCCAGCAGGAGAUGUUCUGAGCUGCCCANGGUGAGGGAGAGGGAGAGGGAGUUUCAUGAUACUCAGCUAGAUGAAUGUGUUCAAACACAACAGAGAGCCUGCCUGCCUGCCUGCCUUCUACCUCUCCCUUUUCAGUUGAGUUUGAAGAUUCCUCUCGUAUAAGAAUUAAUAUGAAAAGAAUUCUGAACCCUAUUAUGGCAUUGUGUUAUAAUAAUGGAAUGCUCGUCCCGCCCAAUCUGGCUGGCUGUCCCCUGGACCAUGCCAACAACAAUCCAGUUCCACAGUGUGUAAGGGUGGCUGUGGGGACAGCCUCCAGAGCUGACAGAGAGGCUCUGGAUACUUCAUGACGGUCAAAUGGACAGAGUGGGUCCGGACACCCCAGCCACCUUUCUGCACACACGUGUGGACACAGGAGGACACAUGCUUGGUGUUGGGGAUUGAACUCCAGCAGUAGUGUGAGGGAUCCAGUAAGACAUGAGAAAGGUCUUCCAGCCGGAGAAAGGUUCAGCCCUGCUUGUCACUGGAAAAGGAUGCCGAAGUGCUGCCUGAGAGAGAAUAUGUCUGAUGAGUGAGGGGUGGAGUCCUGCAGUUCUACAGAAGCCCCUGGCUGCCUAGACAGUGAUAAGGAUAACAGCCUCGUAUGCAAUCAUCAAAUGGUACCACAAGGAGAGAGCACACAUUCAGAACUCACUGUAAGAGCCAGCCUGCUUCAGAGACACUGACCAGCAAGCAAUCACGGUGCUGCACAUCACACAGGGUGGAGCCAGCCGUGCGUGAGCUUCGAUGGGCGACCACAGCAAGGAAAUGGAAGCCAAAGAGAACCAAGCGCUGAACGGCCUCGAUUAAAGACCCGAAAAUGAAUACUGUGUAGGCAAAGACGGGAUUCCCCUCAGAGAGCAACAGUGGGUGAGGAUAAUCCUAGGUGUGGCAAAGAUCGAGGACCUCCACAAAGGCUCCAGCUGCAGCUUGCUGGGCUGUCUGUCCCACCAGCAGACAGGCUUCAUCAGGAAUGAAAACCAUCCCGUGGCCUACAGCAGCCCUUCAAAUAGAGUCUGGAUGGAAGCACGAAGAGACGAACACAGCCAGGUACUACCAGCGCAUCAGUGGGGCGGAACUGGUCUCCAUGAGCCACCCACAGGGACUACUGCAGAGCAGGAGAGUGGGCAAUGGUGAGUGUGGAAUGACUCUUGGCUGGCAAGCAACUGCCUCCUGAAUAGUCAGAGGAGUAUCCUUACAUCCUAAUGACAUCGUGAAACAAUUAGAACCACCAUCAGUCCCUUUUCCUCCAUCCUUGUGACUCACUGGUAAAAGCUAGAGAAUCCCUCAUCAAUUACUAAGUUACUAACCUGUGAGUCAGGUGGAUUAGAGAGGCUGAACAAUCUGCAGAACAAUUGUGCAUGUGCUUCUGACUCAGCUCAAGGUGUUAAAAGGGACCCGUCCUACAUCCCACACCUAGAAACACCUGUCUCACUCAUUUCCCAGCAUGCCUAGGACUGCUGCCCCAGUGUGGCAAGCACUAAAGCACUCGGAGCAUCACCUGAAGGUCAGCACCUCCUGCCCUCUGAUGCCCACGAGUGAAGUUCACACAGCACCACUGCAGUUUAUCAUUUAUCAAGUCCGCUACCUUUUAGGACCAGGGAGGCUCAGCUCUCUAUAACCAUCAGAAGAAACUCCUCUCCUCCCACUUCUUCCUAUGUGACGUCAUAGGGUCCAGCAUAGGAACUUGGAACAAGUAGCCCUGAGAAGUCAUUUGAGAUCAGAAGAGAGGGGUUUUUAAUCUUGGUUCACCGGAAGAGCACUGAUGCAUUUGACUUCCUGAUUUUGGCAGACCAAAUAAAACAAACAGAUUAAAAAGAGAGAAAAGGGAAGGAAGAAUAAAAGGAAGGAAGGGAGGAAGGAAAAAACAAAUCCACAAUUGACAACAAAAAGUAACUAAUAACACAGAAACUAAUUAGGACUCUGUCGUAUUUAAUUCUUCUUCAUAUCAAGGUGUCCAGGGCCACCAUUGAGUGCGGCCAAUGCUAGAGUAGACAUGCUUCUUGUGGCACACAGUGCAAGUGUUUUUAGGAGAGGAAGUGAAGCAGGGUGUGUGCUGGCUGACUCAGAGGGCUGGUAUAGGGAACGUGAGGUGCUGAGGAACCCUGGUUCCUGUUGUAACAGCCAGCUGCUUUCUCUAAGCGCUUACCUUACCCUCUCAGAAGGACCUUGUUUGUACUCCAUAAUGGAUGACUGUGGAAUGUACAUUGUAACCAUUAGUCACACGGCCGAACGGAUACAAUGGCCACUUCUAGACAUUAGCUAUUGAUGGAGGCAGACGAUGACACUCAGGACAAACUGUUCUCUGCAUGAGGAACACUGAGUAAACUGACUAGAGAGUUAUGGCUCAAGGAGGCAAGUCCUGGCAGGCAGAGAGAAAGCAGCAUGAGCCAAUGUGUAAGCCUAGACUGGCUCACUAUUCAGACUCUGGCUAAUUGACCGAGUGGUGGGGUCCAGACAGUCGUGUGUGGCCAGUGAGUACUCACAAGUCCUCCUUUCUGUGUUCCGGAAGAGUAUAACUGAGUGAGCUCCACAUGUAGGAGUUCAGUGCAUGAUAGAUUUUCUUUCCAGGAAGACUGUACAGUAUAGCUAUUGGCACGGCCAUAGGCUUGAUAUUUCAGUUCUUCUAGUUAUUAACUGGACAGCUUUGCACCAAUUCUUUCAACAGCCAAAGUCCUGGUCCUUGUCUCAGAGGAUUGUUAUGAUAAAGCUAUGUGAUAUCUCAGUCAAAAUGUGGAUGGUGUUCCUCAUUCCUGGUAUGUCGUCGUGAUUAUUGUGUCACAGUGGAUUCAGAAUGCAUUACUCCACCAUUUAUCUCCACAUGGCAGAGUUCAUCUAUAUUUGUAUGUUUGCCUUCACCCAUGGGCUAUGCAUUGCUCAGGGAAAGAGCUAUUUUUUGCAUCUUACCUGAUUCCUAGAACUGCUGUGGACCUUCCUGGAAACACAAGUACUGAGGGUGGGACACAGAGUUGGACAAAGGCCAAAGACUGAUGAUCUAUGGUCUUGUUGCUCUCUCCUACUGUUCUGGGGGCCAGAAGCUGACGCCCCUGGAAACUUAACUCUUUCUUACUGUUCUGUGCUGAUAAGGGCUAGUUUCCCACUCCGUACUUCUCUAUUUGUGUUUAAAUAAGCACUGGUUUUUCUUUUCUUCCUCUCUCAGCCCCUCACUCCUCAGGAGACUCAGAAUUCAUUAACUCUGAACCAGAGAGAAAAGAAGGA
rnacentral:sRNA from 1 species